rnacentral:lncRNA from 1 species
ACAGCAGUUUCUCUAAAAAAGUAAUGGCUUCUUAAAUUGCAUUUUAAAAGGAUAUCAUAUACCCUACAGGUGGAAUUGUGUAACAUUUGCUGAGAGGAAAGGUUGUAUCAGAGUAAGAUGGACGGUAGCUUUGAUUGUGAUUGUGGUGAGCUGGAGCCACCUGAUCACUAACAAAAGACAUCUUCUGUUAACCAACAGCCGCCAGGGCUUCCUGUUGAAAUAAAUAUAUAGCAACAAAGGAAAAAAAGAAGCAAAACGGAAAUAGUGCUUACCAGCACCUUAGAAUGAUGCUGCUCAGGACCAGUCCAACACUGAAUGUAUCUGCACUGUGAGGAGAAUGUUCAUAGAAGCCUGUUGUGUGCAUAUUUAUUCACAUUUUUGUUAAAUGUUAAAUCGUUUAGCACGGUAAUCUGAGUGCACAGUAUGUCAUUUCAUUCCGUUUGAGUUUCUUGUUUUCGUUAAAUGUCUGCAGAGUUGCUGCCCCUUUCUUGAACUAUGAGUACUGCAAUCUUUUUAAUUCUCAAUAUGAAUAGAGCUUUUUGAGCUUUAAAUCUAAGGGGAACUCGACAGGCCUGUUUGGCAU